GGGGGGGGCAAGCGUUGUUCGGAAUUACUGGGCGUAAAGGGCUCGUAGGCGGCCAACUAAGUCGGACGUGAAAUCCCCAGGCUCAACCUGGGAACUGCGUCCGAUACUGGAUGGCUUGAAUCCGGGAGAGGGAUGCAGAAUUCCAGGUGUAGCGGUGAAAUGCGUAGAUAUCUGGAGGAAUACCGGUGGCGAAGGCGGCAUCCUGGACCGGCAUUGACGCUGAGGAGCGAAAGCCAGGGGAGCAAACGGGAUUAGAUACCCCGGUAGUCCUGGCCCUAAACGAUGAAUGCUUGGUGUAACGGGUAUCGAUCCCUGUUGUGCCGAAGCUAACGCAUUAAGCAUUCCGCCUGGGGAGUACGGUCGCAAGGCUG
rnacentral:rRNA from 1 species